AAUAAACCAAUUCAUGCGUUUUUAGAUUGAAUUUUUGACUCUUCGUCUUAUUUAAAAUUUUUUAUGAUUAAUAUUUUUAUUGUUAUUACAUGAUAAAACAUGAAUAGUACUAUGUAUGUAACUUUUUUUUAAUUUUUUGAUAAAUUCUUCAAAUAAGACGGAUGGUCAAACGCUCUAUAGGCAAAACUCAGA
rnacentral:pre_miRNA from 1 species